rnacentral:misc_RNA from 1 species
GAAAUGCGAUAAGUAAUGUGAAUUGCAGAAUUCAGUGAAUCAUCGAAUCUUUGAACGCACAUUGCGCCCGACAGUAUUCUGGCGGGCAUGCCUGUCCGAGCGUCAUUUCAACCAUCAAGCCCCCGGGCUUGUGUUGGGGACCUGCGGCUGCCCGCAGGCCCUGAAAACCAGUGGCGGGCUCGCUGUCACACCGAGCGUAGUAGCAAUCACCUCGCUCAGGGCGUGCUGCGGGUUCCGGCCGUUAAACAGCCUUACAAAACCCAAGGUUGACCUCGGAUCAGGUAGGAAGACCCGCUGAACUUAAGC